AUGUGGUGGGAGAAAAAAAAACCUCUGGGAAUUUGCAAGUGCCAAGAAGGACAGCUGAAGGACAGGACUCUAAAAUAUUUGCCUUUCUUGGGUAGCAUGACCUUUCUACAGCUAUGGCUUUCUUUUAUUCAGGCUUCAAUCGGGGUGGCUACAACCAGAACCGCUGGGGAGGUGGAAACCGUGACAGCAACAACAACAACCGGGGGAACUACAACCGGAACAACCAACCCCCGAGCAACUACAGCCCAGCACGCAACCAAAACACCUACAAGAGCAGCAGCAAUCUGGGACCCUCCCCUCCAGCCCCUGCUGCUAAUCCUCCUCCCAGUACUUAUCCUCCAGCGCCACAGCAGCAAAGCUACAGCCAGCCCUACAACCCUCCAUCCAGCUACAGCCAAGGUGGUUACGGAGCUCCGAGCUACAACUAUGGGAACUAUGGUGGCUACAGCCAGUCCUACACCCAGCCCCCACCCCCCCCGCCGGCCCCAGCUCCCGCCCCAGCUCCUGCUCCGGCCCCAGCCCCACCCAGCUACAACCAGUACCAACAGUACGCCCAGCAGUGGAGCCAAUACUAUCAAAACCAGAGUCAGUGGCCUCCAUACUAUGGCAGCUACGACUACGGGAGCUACGCGGGCACCUCGCAGGGUGGCUCCGGCACUCAGUGAUGACGGCGUGUCAUUCUUGGAAAGGAGCAAGUCGCUCUGCCGUCUUCGGCAAGUUUUUAACUUGAUAGCGGGCAUUUAUGAGUCUCCAGGGAUCUGGGAAGGACAUUGCCUCUCUGCCCUUCCCUCCUUGCCGUAGUUCCGGAGGGUGGCUGCAUUUUUACCUGUACAGCUAGAGGCAUGUUUUCCUUCUCUCUCUCUGUACCAUCCCCUCUUGAGGAAAUUACAUGAUUUCUUGUCUCUCCUUGUUGAAAAUAGUUUUAUUCCUUUUUAAAAAUUACUCUUGAUUCUGAAGAAGCUCGAGUCUUCAGCCUCACAUCCUUGUAUUUUUUUAGGCCACGAUCCAUCCUCGUAUCAAACGUUCCACAGUAGUUGGGGUGAUCCCUUUUGCAGCCUUCUUAGGACUUGCCACCACCCUCCCACCCCACCUCCCAUGACUCCCAUAAAUUCCAGUCAUUUUGGAAACUCUUCCUGCAGUUUGUUGUCACCUGUCUUUGAGGUGUUUUUAUCUGUCUUUUCUGCAAAUAACUAUUAAAACUGGAGGGCAAAGAGAUGGCUUAUCUUAUGGUAAUUACAGUUUUGGGUUUGUUUGUUUUUUUAGAUUUUUCUGUAACUUUUUACUGUGGGUCAGCAGCUGUUAAUAUUUUCAUCAAGGUAACAAUUCUUUUUUGCUCAAUAUAGGAGAGGGGGAAAAACAAAAGAGGGGGGAAAUCAUCUUAAAUGUGUAACUUUUUAUACAAUGUCUAAGUUUCUGUAACUUUGCACAUGCUUUGUGUUGAGUUGAAUUGUAACAGCUUUUUGUAUUUGGAGAGGAAAAAAGAGUGAAUAUUGAACUUUAAAAUAUUUGUCUUGCGUGUUUUUCCUUUCCUUUUCAACCUUCAUACUGUAUUCUGACUGCAACAUACACAGACACAAUGUUACUAGAUCUUCACUGAGAUUCCUGCCUCUUAGAACUUCUGUUUACUCACCCUUUUCUCCCAUUUGCUGUAGCAGACAGUAAUGGAGAAGGUUCAACAGCUGUCUGCUCAGGAUGGUGCUAAGCUGUUACAGAAAUACAUGAACACCUCUCCAUUCACAUACAAAAUGUCUUUGUGAAAAGACCUUGAGAUCCAAGACUCUCAUUGGUCCCUAAUUGCCCA
rnacentral:lncRNA from 1 species